rnacentral:rRNA from 1 species
AACGAACGCUGGCGGCAGGCUUAACACAUGCAAGUCGAGCGCCCCGCAAGGGGAGCGGCAGACGGGUGAGUAACGCGUGGGAAUCUACCCAUCUCUACGGAAUAACGCAUGGAAACGUGUGCUAAUACCGUAUACGUCCUUCUGGAGAAAGAUUUAUCGGAGAUGGAUGAGCCCGCGUUGGAUUAGCUAGUUGGUGGGGUAAAGGCCUACCAAGGCGACGAUCCAUAGCUGGUCUGAGAGGAUGAUCAGCCACACUGGGACUGAGACACGGCCCAGACUCCUCCGGGAGGCAGCAGUGGGGAAUAUUGGACAAUGGGCGCAAGCCUGAUCCAGCCAUGCCGCGUGAGUGAUGAAGGCCCUAGGGUUGUAAAGCUCUUUCACCGGUGAAGAUAAUGACGGUAACCGGAGAAGAAGCCCCGGCUAACUUCGUGCCAGCCGCCGCCGUAAUAC